GGGCCUGUAGCUCAGCUCGGUUAGAGCGACGGUCUUAUAAGCCGUAGGCCUUGAGUUCAAAAAUGGCCGGCACGAAGUGCCUGGAAUUCCGUCUUAGAGAAAUGUAUAAGACUAGGAAGGCUAUCUCACAUAUGUUAUUCCUAGGCUGAGAUUCUCAACAGGCCCA
rnacentral:tRNA from 1 species